GCUACUUUUAGUAUUUUUAGUAGAGACGGGGAUUUGCCAUGUUGGUCAGGCUGGUCUCGAAUUCCUGACCUCAGGUGAUCCACCCUCCUCGGCCUCCCAAAGUGCAGGAUUACAGGAGAGAGCCACCGCGCUAGGCCAAAAUUAUGUAAUUCUUGAAGAUCCUUCCUGAGUGCAAGAUCAAGUUAGGACAGAGGAACAGCAAAUAACAAGAUGGGGUGAUGGACAUGACUGGAGGGCAGUUCGAAACCUAAAGAGGAUGAACGCAGAACGGGCAACAGAGUCCGUAUGUCGGGCGGGCGACUGCACCCGCCCUUUCCUACCCAGGUAGGGCCGCGCCCUAGCACAUGGGCGUAAACACGCUCAACCAGAGAACUGCCCCUCCCGCAAGGCUCAGCGCUCGGACCGCGCAAGCGCACAUGCCCUCCUCCGCGGCCCCUACAAACAGGGCAACGCACAGGGCGUAGCCCGCUCCCUACAGAGGCUGCGCCUUAGAGGAACUGGCGUAGCGUCCUGGUAGACAUGCUGCAGCCCCGCCGUCCCCGGCUUCUCCGUGAGGUCCCCGGGACUCCUCGCCACCACCUGGCACUGGCCCCCGGCUGCCUGCUCCUGGAGUCGCGCGGGGCCCCCUCUCCGUCCCUGCCCAACCCGCGGAGGCUUACCUCACUCUCUCUUCGGGUUGCAUUCGCCAUAAGAGAGCCGGUAGACCCCUGAAAUCCCGGGACCGCCUCCCACGCAAAACGUGAGACAAACAAAAGGAAAGGCGGAAACGCAGAAACGCAGAGACGGAGUCUAGCUCUGUCACCAGGCUGGAGCACAGUGGCAUGAUCUCGACUCACUGCAACCUCCACUGAAGAAGGAAUUCAUGAAUUUUACAAGUAUAAUCAAAGACCACCAAGAAAUUUUUACUUUUUCCUUCAAAAGCUAAGUGUAGUGUAGCACCCCCUGCCCAUAGUCUAAGUUACAGAAGAAUACUAACUGCCUGUUUUUCUUUCUGUGUUGUGAGCCUUAUCUGUUCUCACCAGUUUCACAUUCCUUGAGGCUCAGUGAGUUCCUGCGCACCUCCCUAGCACAGCUGCAAAGUUACAAGGUUGAUAUGCAUAUGUUACAGAAACAUAGUUUCCCAAGGAUGUGGAACAUGUAGUAUAGAUAAAUGUAAAAGACUGAUCAACUGCCUUUGUUCUCGCUUGUGUAAGUAGACUUCAUGAAUCACAUAGCUCCCGGCCACUGACUGCUUAAAAGGUGGCUGCAUUCUUUCUCCAGGGCUCAGACUUUCCUGGACGCUAGUCCUACUGAGCCAGGUGAUCCCCUUAAUAAAGGCUUUCCUGAACUCUC
rnacentral:lncRNA from 1 species